GAGUCAGCAAUAAUUAUAUGAAUCAAAUGGGGCGUGGUCUCAGUUUGGCCACCUUCUACCAUCUCAAUAAUUUUAUAGCUAGCUAGCUGCGUGCAUCCAUAUCCAGUCCUGGCGGCCCAAUUUAAUUUAUAUUCUUCCCUCAUCACUUAAGAGCUCACCAAAAUGGUUUAUGCCAAUUAAAUGUACCAAUCUGUCUCCAAGCGCUUAAGCUUGCUGUAUCUUUCUCGCUCGUCUAUGUAAAGCCGCAAAAACUCAUGGGCAUCUUCUUGCUGAUUUGGUCUCCAGUGAAUUAACAACCCUUUCAUUCAGAAAUUAGGUGAGAGGUAUACGUACUUAUGUCUAGAACGUUUAUCUGAUCUUACUUUUCAUAUUAGAAUAUACAGCUGAUGGACACACGACAGAGUUUUGCUGACAUUCAUUUAGAGAAUUUUCAAAGCAUACGCCAAUUUCAUGACAAUGCUCUGAUUGAGUAAACGUGUACAUUUAUUUUAGUGUGAGUCAGAUGUUUGCAGUGUCUCAUUAUUUUCCAUAAACCAGGGGUAUAGAAUACACUCUGUAUCACAGAAUUUGCAAAACAGGUGUUCCCCCCAUGUUCUGCAGCCCUCCUAUAGACAUGAUCAGGAGUGCAUGAAUAUUCAUGCACUCCUGACAUGAUUAGUGGUUCAGGACUAUUAUGUGAGGGCGGCCAUAACCUCAAAAGGGCUGACUCAGCAGUUGGAAUCAUUCCUGUGUUUAGCCUUCCUCAAUAGGAUCUAUGUCUAUAUCUGCUAGCUGCCGUUUAGAUCUAGUCAGCAGCAGCUUUAUAUGAAGUACAUACACAGUACAUCUAAAUGAUCAUAAUGGCAAGGGAGCAUAUAGCGUACUUUUGUACUCGGAUUACCUUCUGAUGUAUGCACACACAACACAUAUACAGGCCUGACAGUGAGGGUGUGCUCCUCUCAAUGAUAUGGUACAAAGAUUUGGAUGCUUGCUUCUGUCAUCUUCUAAGCUCAAUAAUUAACAAGAGUUGCAGUGUUUUUUGUUGUUAUUUACUCUUUUUUUGUCAAUCUUGAGUCAACCAACAUUCAUAUUGCUCGACCCAUA